ensembl:snRNA U6 U6 spliceosomal RNA
GUGAUCACUUUGGCAUCACAUUACUAAAAUUGGGAUGAUACAGAGAAAAUUUAAAUUAGCAUAGCUCCUGCCCAAGGAUGACAUGUAAACUCAUAAAGUGUUCCACAUUGAA